ensembl:snRNA U2 U2 spliceosomal RNA
CAAAAUUCUCAGCUCUCUGUGAGCUAAGAUCAAGCGUAGUAUCUGUUCUUAUCAGUUUAAUAUCUGAUAUAUCCUUUCUUUGAGGACUGUAUAUUAAAUUGAUUUUUGAAACAGGGGGCCGGAAUAGGAGCUUGCUCUGUCCAUCCCAUGCAUUGACCUGGUAUUGCAGUGCCACAUCCAAAAUUCCUGCU